UGUGUGUGUGUGUGUGUGUGUGUGUGUGGGCAAAAUAUCAGAAUUGGGAGCAGCCAAUGAUCCCCUGAAUAUCUCUCACCUUGAAUGUUCCAUCAGCGUUCCUCCCUUUGGGGGUGACAGACAUGGAGCCUCCAUAGAAGUGUCCCGCUGAAGCCAGGGAGACCAGUAGCAGCAGAUGCAGCAACACCGGUGUGGAGGAGGACAUGAUGCCUGGAUCUCUCUGGAGGAUUCCUCUCUACCUAUCUGCCUCCAGCAUCCAACCUUCAAACCUUUAUACCUUCUCAGACCAACCAUCCAUUCAGGAGGAAUGUCAGAGCAGAUGCCAAAAUUGUUUCCUUUGUAACUCACCCUGGACAUGUUCUCUUUCUGACAGGUGUAACUGGUUUUAAUGAACUGGGAAACAAAGAUUAAAAUACCUUUUCAUAAUAACCUGAAACGAAAGGGGAAAUAAAGUUGUGAGUUACAGUAAUUCUGUAUAUCUUGAACUUGUCUCUGCUAAUCUUGCCUUUGAAAUUAUGAUGAAUUGGUCCUGCUACAGAUUACUUUGUAAAUACAUCCUUCAUUCCCUUGGGUAGGCUGGAUAGGUGAAAACAGCCAUCCACUACCCUUUCACCAAUCCAAUCCAUAUUCACCCAUGGUAUUGCUUCUUGAGGUGUUCUAAUUGUCUUUCCACGCCUGUUACCAUGGUGAGGAUUACACAAACACAAAAAGGAUGCUUUUCACGGUAAUUCAUGACAAUCACCUUUAAAUCAACGUGUGAGUCAAAACUAUGUUUUUAUACUUCUGCUCUGUCCCUAUCAGAUGUUUUUCUGUUUGACAUCGUUGAACUGGCAUGGGUGGGUUGGAAUCCAUCUGACUGACAGCAUGAAGAUGUUCAACAAGAUUAGGCCAUGAGGACAGGUGAUUUAUUAUCUCAUCUCUCUUGUCAAACAUCAGGUGAGGUGAAAAAAAUGCUUCUUGAAUUAAAUAACAUGUUGGGAACACAAAAGGUCAAAGAUCAUUUUUUCACACCACAUUGUUUUCAGUAAAUGUCUCAUGCUUCAGGAAUGUUCCACAGGACUCAAGGAUGUUGCUGACAAGUCAUUGAACUUGUUUGAGAUGAAACCUAUAGCAUAUUAUCAAAUGGCUUCCAGGGAGAUGCUUAAUGUGAGUUGGACAAUAGCACCUCAAAAUAAAUCCCUACAUAACCACUUGACCUUACAAUACUAAUACUAAAUACUUACAAUAGCAAAGGUUGAUCUGCACGAUAGAGACACCAACUCAACCAGACAGUAUGUGUUUUAUAGAUAUUGAAGUGAACUAAUUAAUUCAUACUACUGAUUGUAAAUGGAGGUAAAUACACCUGUCUCCUUCUAUCUGAGUGAAUUCAGUAGCUUUUCACACUCA
ensembl:lncRNA